AUUGAACGCUGGCGGCAGGCCUAACACAUGCAAGUCGAGCGAGCGACGGACGGGUGAGUAAUGUAUGGGGUCUGCCCGAUAGAGGGUGAUAACUACUGGAAACGGUGGCUAAUCCCGCAUACUAUCGGAUAACCCAUAUGGGAUUAGCUAGUAGGUGGGGUAAAGGCUCACCUAGGCGCCGAUCUCUAGCUGGUCUGAGAGGAUGAUCAGCCGCACGGGGACAUGGACAGCGACGAGACUCCUACGGAGGGAGGAGUUGUGAAUGUUGCACAAGAGGGGCAAGCAUGAUGCAGCCAUCCCGAGUGUAUGAAGCAGGCCUUAUGGUUGUAAAGUACUUUCAGCGGGGAGGCGUUACCCGCAGAAGAAGCACCGGCUAACUCCGUGCCAGCCGCCGCGGUAAUAC
rnacentral:rRNA from 1 species